rnacentral:rRNA from 1 species
GAGGAAUAUUGGUCAAUGGGCGAGAGCCUGAACCAGCCAAGUCGCGUGAAGGAAGAAGGUUCUAUGGAUUGUAAACUUCUUUUGCAGGGGAAUAAAGGACGGUACGUGUACUGUUUUGUAUGUACCUUGCGAAUAAGGAUCGGCUAACUCCGUGCCAGCAGCCGCGGUAAUACGGAGGAUCCGAGCGUUAUCCGGAUUUAUUGGGUUUAAAGGGUGCGUAGGUGGAUCGUUAAGUCAGUGGUGAAAGUUUUCAGCUCAACUGAAAAAUUGCCGUUGAAACUGUCGAUCUUGAGUGCAAAUGAGGUAGGCGGAAUGUGUUGUGUAGCGGUGAAAUGCUUAGAUAUAACACAGAACUCCGAUUGCGAAGGCAGCUUACUGGGAUGCAACUGACACUGAUGCACGAAAGCGUGGGUAUCAAAC